UAUAAUAUAGUGUAAAUGCACAUUGAUUUUUGAAUUCAAUAGUUUUAGUUUAUUCUAAAUUUUAUAA
rnacentral:tRNA from 2 species